GGGCCCAUAGCUCAGUCGGUAGAGCAGAGGCCUUUUAAGCCUCGUGUCGUGAGUUCGAGUCUCACUGGGCCCUCCA
rnacentral:tRNA from 1 species